AUUGAACGCUGGCGGCAGGCCUAACACAUGCAAGUCGAGCGAGCGGCGGAAGGGUGAGUAAUGUCUGGGAAACUGCUUGAUGGAGGGGGGUAACUACUGGAAACGGUAGCUACUACCGCAGACCAUCAGAUGUGCCCAGAUGGGAUUAGCUAGUAGGUGGGGUAACGGCUCACAUAGGCGACGAUCCCUAGCGGGUCUGAGAGGAUGACCAGCAACACGGGAACUGAGACACGGUCCAGACUCCUACGGGAGGCAGCAGUGGGGAAUAUGGCACAAUGGGGGAAAGCCUGAGGCAGCAAUGCCGCGUGGGUGAAGAAGGCUUUCGGGUUUUAAAGCACUUUCAGCGGGGAGGCGUUACCCGCAGAAGAAGCACCGGCUAACUCCGUGCCAGCAGCCGCGGUAAUAC
rnacentral:rRNA from 1 species